rnacentral:rRNA from 1 species
CCUACGUGUGGCAGCAGUGAGGAAUAUUGGUCAAUGGCCGGAAGGCUGAACCAGCCAAGUAGCGUGAAGGAUGAAUGCCCUAUGGGUUGUAAACUUCUUUUAUAUGGGAAUAAAAUGUUACACGUGUGGGAUUUUGUAUGUACCAUACGAGUAAGGAUCGGCUAACUCAGUGCCAGCAGCCCCGGUAAUACGGAGGAUCCGAGCGUUUUCCGGAUUUAAUGGGGUGAAAGGGAGGGUCGGUGGUUUGUUAAGUCAGUUGUGAAAGCUUGCGGCGCAACCGUAAAAUUGCAGUUGAAACUGGCAGUCUUGAGUACAGUAGAGGUGGGCGGAAUUCGUGGUGUAGCGGUGAAAUGCUUAGAGAUCUCGAAGAACUCCGAUUGCGAAGGCAGCUCCCUGGACUGCAACUGACACUGAGGCUCGAAAGUGUGGGUAUCAAACAGGAUUAGAUACCCGUGUAGUC